UAAGACGUAGGGCGCGAGCGUUGUCCGGAUUUAUUGGGCGUAAAGAGCUCGUAGGCGGCUCGUUGCGUCCAUCGUGAAAACUCAGGGCUUAACUCUGAGCUUGCGGUGGAUGCGGGCGGGCUAGAGUUCGGUAGGGGAGACUGAAUUCCUGGUGUAGCGGUGAAAUGCGCAGAUACCAGGAGGAACACCGGUGGCGAAGGCGGGUCUCUGGGCCGAUACUGACGCUGAGGAGCGAAAGCGUGGGGAGCGAACAGGA
rnacentral:rRNA from 1 species